UUUCACCUACCAAAUGCAGCUGGCUAGUUUAGUUAAUCAAACUCUCGGCUCAAACAGAGGGAUGCUAUGUUAGCUAGCUGGCUAUGACUAUCCAACACCGGAACUCUUCCAAGUCAAGGUAAGCUUUUGGUUUUAUUAAUUUAUUGCCACCGGGGCCCGCCAGUGUAACUGCUUACUGACUGUACACUGUAACGUAACUGCAUGAUUUAUUCAGCCGAUUCUGUUGAAAAACAUUUCUUAAACGGAAGCAAACGAAACAAGGAUAAAAAUGCAAACUCUCUUUUGCAACUGGACUAAUGAUUACACCUUAGAUAAGCUAAAUUCAGGCCAGAGUGUGCAAGGCGGUGUUGAAUGUGUCACUGUCUGUCCAUGAGUCACUGUCUGUCAUCUGAAAUUUUUAUUUCGACCUGUGUGCACCUACGUUGUAAACUUUCAUUCAUAGGCUAGGUUGUAGCAACCUCAUGAUGGGUAUAGGGAACAUUUCAGUAUCAUACAGUAGUUUGAACCUAUUGAUGUUACGUUGAACUGGAUGAAUGGAAUAUGAAUGACAGUAACCUAAACCUGUCACUGUUACAUUGAACUGGAUGAAUAUGAAUGACAGUAUCCUAAACCUAUCACUGUUACAUUGAACUGGGUGAAUGGAGUAUGAAUGACAGUCAUCUAAUAUGCUGUAAUAGAAAUAAGGCCAUGCUCAUCAAAAAAAAAUAAUUGUCCUCCCUCAUCAAAAACGGCACUGUGUUCCACUAUUACAGACAGAGGUGGCAUAAUCUCUAAUGCUGUUCCACUGUCACAGAAGCCAGAUCACCCAUGAUACAAGUCAGUAUUCGACAUCCAUCCAUGUCUGAGGACGUCGGGAGAUGACGUGUAAACCGUCCACUAAGGGCAACAGAGAGCGCUGUUACCUUUAUGUAGGUUUCAGUUUCAUGAUGAGGGAGGUGGGUGUAAGCCUCUGAUUCCAAAGGUUGCAAGUUUUAAUCCAGCGAUAGAACGUUUUUAAGGCUUUCUCAAACCUUAAUCCUUACCUUAACCAUUCGGCGUCAAUGCCUAACUUUAACCAUUCGGCGUCAAUGCCUAACUUUAAACAUUCGGCGUCAAUGCCUAACUUUAAACAUUCGGCGUCAAUGCCUAACCUUUAGAAUUUGGAGUUAAUGCCUGAACUUACCUUUAAACACUUAGAAAUGUUACGUUUGAGAAACAUGGAUGAACGUCUAAUUCUGACGUGAGAUUGUGAGAGCUAGUUGGUUACAGACAGAGGUGGUAUCAUCUCUAACUGUGCUGUUCCUCUGUUACAGACAGAGGUGGUAUCAGGUCUAACUGUGCUGUUCCCCUGUUACAGACAGAGGUGGUAUCAGGUCUAACUGUGCUGAAGGUGAAGGUGUGUUUUUGUUAUCAGGCUUAGAGAAUGACGGCUCUCCUCUGUCCCAGUCCAGCUGCUCUGAUUCUUUGCAGUCUUUGUCAUAUUCAUGAGGUUCUCAAUUGGAGACAUCUCCAUCAUCAUGUUAAAAUCCCCAGACUUCAUCCCAAGGUUUAGGUCUACUAACAGACUCAGUGGCCACUAGAAAGAUGUCCCCAACUUCAACAUCCCAGCUGUGUGUUCCUGAGGUAAAGCCCUCAGAGCCCAGGACCCAUCCCAAGCCUUUUAAUAUUCUUCCGGCAAUGGCAAAGCUCUAACAAGACGUGUCUGCAUAGAGUCCUCAAACUUUUGAAAAAUGUUAAAGGCAUUUCGCGACUUGGAAGUUAAUACUAGCUAGUCCGCUCCUUUUUUUUCUUUUCUUUGGCUAUAGAGCCACUGGCAGAAGCUUUUAGAUCUCAUGUCAUCUAUCCAUGAUGUUCGUAUAGGUGGGUGUGAACAUCUAGUCUCCUUAAACGCUGAUGACAAUUUUUCUUUUCGUUUUACCUCAGACAUGUCUCUCCGAGCAUUAGUUGACUUGCUGAAAGAAUAUGGGAUCUUUUCAGGAUAUAAAAUAAACCUAUUGAAGAGUAUAAUCAUGCCUAAUAACAGGGCAGCUAUUCAGAACCCAAUCUUAGACCAGCCAUUUUCUUGGAGACCUCAGAAAAUGACAUAUCUGGGAUUGCAAAUUCCUUAUGAAAUUAUUAAGACAUAUCAACUGAACUAAAC
rnacentral:lncRNA from 1 species